rnacentral:rRNA from 1 species
CACGUAGGGUGCGAGCGUUGUCCGGAAUUAUUGGGCGCAAAGAGCUCGUAGGCGGUGUGUCGCGUCGGCCGUGAAAACCUGCAGCUUAACUGUGGGCUUGCGGUCGAUACGGGCAUCACUGGAGUUCGGCAGGGGAGAGUGGAAUUCCUGGUGUAGCGGUGAAAUGCGCAGAUAUCAGGAGGAACACCGGUGGCGAAGGCGGGUCUCUGGGCCGAUACUGACGCUGAGGAGCGAAAGCGUGGGGAGCGAACAGG